ACUGCAAAUAUAUUUCACAGCAAGGUUAUUAGACUCUAUACAGGUUACGACAAAAGCCCGUUUUGGCCGAUUUCCAAUAAAAAAAUGAAUGAAAGUUUUGACAGACAAAUUGGAAUGGUUUGUUUACAAUUUGACUGGAUUGCAAUCGUGCAAUGCUGUGGCAAGGGAGAAAUCGACUAAGUGAGAUUCCAGUAAAAAUAUGUUUUCGUUGUCGUGAAAAGAUCCAACAUGAAGGAGUUUAAGAUUGUGUCUGGGAAAAGGAUUACAUCGAGCAAGUGGAGGAUUAAUGUGAAAUCAUUCGCUUCUCAGCAUUACCAGCAUUACCGACAAGGAGAUAAAUAAGCGUGUGAAGUACACAGCUAGAAAGCAUAUGUUGGAAUGAAAAUGUAUGCUGUUUUUGGAACUUGCACGAUGUCUCAGGUGGGUGUGCAGUGCAGACACAGUUUCAUCUUACGAGUUUCUUUUCCGUCCAACAAUAGUAAAGUAUAUAUGGAGAGGGAGGGGUGCAAAGUGCCGUACUUUCCCAAAGUAAUCACUGUUCGUAAUAGGUGAGGAAUAUUAUCAUGCCUGGCUGUUGCACAGUAUCCGUUGGGAUGAGGUCUAGCUCCCUCGAGGCUAACGGACGAUGUCCCAUUCUGCCCCCCCAUUCUGCAACAUAUUGUCCAGAUGGCCGAGAUGGCAUGUUGCUUCGGCUAGGUGAGUAUCGUUGCACUAAUGAACCAAUGCCCCGUUGAAUGUAGUUCCUUUCCAGGGAACGAAAUCUUUUAUCGACCGGAUGCAGCUGCAGCAUUAGCAGAGGGAGAAGAGUUAUGUCACUAUGGGUAUACAAUAGAGAUGUACUGUCAUAUAGAGAUAUAACAGUGCCGAGCAGUGCUUUUGGAUUUAACAGUGCAGCAUGAUGGACCAAGUACAUAAAUAAGCAACAAUUGCAACCAUAGCCUGACUCCAGCGUGUGAUCUGGAGGGAUAAUAAGUUUUGACACGCAGACUGGAUGCACGUGAUCAUACGUCAUCUAUCAUCUCGGUUCAUUAUUUAAUAUAAUUUUAUUUAUUUUUUC